AAAAACACGUAGCAAUGAAUGAAAGCAUUACGUCUUAAAAAAGUGAUCGAUUUUGUUGGAAAUUACCAAAAUUCGUUUUCAUUCAAAAUGGUUUUGUUGGUGCUUUUUUCAGCAUUUCUCAUUCAUUAUUUCGCAUCACAAUGUGAAGGUGUUCUCACGCCUCAAGAUCAACAGCUUUUUGUCUCUGCUGGAAAUGAUUUUACCAGAUUUUUAUUUAGUCAUAAAUGUAAAUCUUUCUUUUUUUAGGUAAUGCACCUGCAAUUGCCCAACUUAUUAGCAUGGGAGCAAAUCUAAGUGCUCAAUAUAAUCACGGAAUGAAUCACAUUGGGCGGCCGAAGAUGGUCAUUUUGAAGCUGCCAAGGUCCUUAUUAUAAACGGUCAAUGCCAAAGACUUCUAACUUCAAAUUGCCUUUAGUUUAUGCUAACAGAUAAGAGCCAAAAAUAUACCGUUGGCAUAGACAAAAGGCUGGUGUCUUAUUCAACUCCAGGCAAUUCUGAAGAUUGGGCCAGAAGUAUUGGCAUCAAAUAUGCCUACACGAUUGAACUACGUGACAGAGGUCGUUACGGAUUUCUAUUGCCUGCUAGUUAUAUUCAAGCAGCAGCCAAAGAAGCACAGGCAUUUGUUUCAGCUGUAUCCCGUGCCGUAUUUGACGACCAAAACAUAACCAAAAAAGGCUCCAAAUCGAAAGCUGAAUGAGUAAACUCAAGAGUUGAUUUUGAAUUUGAAAUAAAACACUCGGCUCUUACUGAUUGAUAGUUUUGAGGCUUUUUUAAUCUAUCUAUAGACAAAAAGAGUUUACAAUAUAAAUAAAUUGGUAUAAAAAAUAAACUAAUUCAAUGGAAUCGGUUUUGACAA